rnacentral:lncRNA from 1 species
CACACGCAGGCCACGUGCCGGCACCCCCCGGUGGCCGCUCGCCGCCUCGCCUUUAUAAGCGGCCGGGCGGGCGGAGCUCAGCUCAUCGCACUCAAGCUCACCCUGCAACUUGCUCGCUCUCGUCUCGGCUCUGAUAUUUUCUGCCCUGCCCUCUCGCUGCCCGGCGUCAGCCUUCCUUGGUCGGGAGACGAAGGAGAGAGAUAAAGGAGAAGAUGUCGGACGGCACGGCGACCUGCAUCGACAUCAUCCUCGCCAUCAUCCUGCCGCCGCUCGGGGUCUUCUUCAAGUUCGGCUGCGGGGUCAGUAAAAUCUACUAGCUCUGGUUCAGAGCUCUUGCUGACUCAUUUGCACCCCAGCGUGCUCAAAUACUUGCAUGAUACUGUGCGCUGGUUUAUGACUACUGUGUUCGUGGGGGCUAUAGCUGAUAGAUGGCUCUUGCUCUGCUUGCAGGUUGAGUUCUGGAUCUGCCUCGUCCUCACCUUCUUCGGCUACCUCCCCGGCAUCAUCUACGCCGUCUGGGCCAUCACCAAGUAGAGGGGCCUCUUCGAGGUACUAUUCUACAUGCACCUUCUUCAACAACCUGUUACUGUGAAACUGCUCGUGUAGAGAAAAACAAAACACGCACCUCGCUUCUUGAUGCUUCCAGUGAAUUGUUGCUUUAAUUUCCUUUUGAUUAUGGGCAUGCAGGUGAUGAUGGGGCCGGGCCUCGUGCGUGUGGUGUCCUCGUCGUGCCUGGUGUGAUCUGCAGUCGUUUGAGAUGUAAUUUCUUCUAGUUUCUCUUCCCUUUGGCUGGAUGGUGCGCACCGUGUUCGUCCCUCUCCGCGGGAUACGGGCUGCACCUCCUCCGAUCCAUUGUAUCGCCCAGUUCCUCUGCACAUUUCCGUCCCUGUACUUCGAUUGAUUAAUUAAUUCGUCCGUUCUUUAGUGGAAAUUAAUUCUCUGCUUGUUUGGCUGCUUGAUUGAUUACUUAAUACUGUUUUUCCUUUCUUUUUCAAUAUCUUUUUUGUCUGUUUGCUUGGCACUCUGGGAUUGGGAAUAAAUGAAUAAUCACCCAUGGUUUGGUGAGCUUAGGCCUUGUCUAGUUGCCUGAAUUUAAGUGCCCAAAAUCACUGUUGUAGCACGGUAGCACACUGUAGCGUUUCGUUUGUAUUUGUAAAUUAUUGUCCAAAUAUUCACUAAUUAGGCUCAUAGAUUCGUCUCGCAAAGUACAACAAAACUGUGCAAUUAGUUUUUGAUUUUAUCUACAUUUAAUACUCCAUACAUCUAUCGUAAGUUUGAUGUGAUGGAAAAUCUUCUUUUUUGCAUAUGUCAAAGUUGGGAGUUUGGGGAAAACUAAGCAGCCCUUAGCCUCUUGGGGAAGAAGGGUAGCUAGCUGGCUAGGUGCUCGUUCCAAACGGAACGGGCCUGUCAGAUCAAACGGAUCACGGAAAGGGUAAUAUCUAAUAUAAUGGCGUCCAAGAAAUAAUACCAUGGGCGCUUGUCGCGUUUCUAGCGGGAGGCUAGUCCCCGUCGAGGCUUUUUUUUUUGUUCGUAUAUCGAUUGAUCCUAUGAAAUCAUAUCACUUACCUUUUUAUUUAAAAAAGAAGUGAUUUUUUUUUGCGAAUCAAAGAAAUUAAUAUAUUGGCGAUCCGGUGCUAGCAGGUGACGAGUCAGAGAAUGCCAGCUGACCCCUGGCGGCUGGGCGCGCCUAGUGCCCGAUCCGGACGUGUCAUGUGAUUUGCUCCACCUGUCCGAUCCGGACGAUGUACUCCACCUGUCAAAUGUGAACGGUGAAAAUGAGAGAGAGAGAGAGAGAGAGAGAGAGAGAGAGAGAGAGAGAGAGAGAGACCCGUGUCUCGAUGCUAGUCGUUGUCGAUACUAGCGAUGGGCAGAUACAUUGGCAUCUAGUAGCAGCUUUGGUCGAUUAAAGAAAUGGCUGGUCGUGUCGCUGUACCUGGCUGAGCGGGAGGCGAGAGCCCAGCGGCGACGGGUGUCUCUGCAGGUGCAGCGCUGCACACACAGAGCAGCAGCAGCAGCUGCAUCCUGGGGGAAACGGACGUGCGGAUGACCGCGCGUGCCAUGAAUUGGGUUUCGCUUUCCCGUGUGAGCGGACUAGCAGACCAGCUCACGGCCGAAAGCAACCGCCCAUCUAACAAUAGCAGCCUCCGCCCCGCCCCGCCCCGGCCGGGCGCCAGACGCGAGCCGAGCCAAGUCAUGACGCACUGGCACAGACGUUGGCGCAGCGGAUCGGAUCGCCAGACCCCAGAAACGCCGCGCCAUCCUCGUGGUUUUCUGGUGAGUUGCGCGGGACCAGUGGCGCGCGCAAGGAGCCAAGGAGGGCUAGGCGCCACCGUGAGCAGGGCGCCGGGCCCGGGCCCUGUCGCACCAAGCGGGCAGGGGAAUCCAAUCUCCUUCCCCGCGCGCGGCGCCCCCACCGCCGCUCACGCGCCGGCCGAACCAGCAACGAAUCAUGCGCGCAACGGCAAGCUUCUUGGUGCGCCGCAUGUGCCCGCUCCGCAUGGUAACAGAACAGGAACAGCCUCCGCCGUCCGUACUCGUAGGCAGCCGCAACCGACAGGCAAGCGAAAGACGGAAAGGAGAAGAGAGAGGCGUCCUGAAACUUGUUGCCGGACGAGACGAGCGCCAACUAGUGCGUGGGCCUGAUCGCGUCUCCAUGGGCCGGCCGGGGGCACUGGGCUGUCCCCCCGCACACACAACAGGCCCAAUAGCUUAGAUUUUCAAACCUCUUCCCAGCGGCCCGCUUUCCACGAUGGGUUUGCACAAGGGGAUGGGAUUCGAUUCGACCAAAAAUGGUUUUGAAAUGAGAGAAUGGGGAAUCCCACUAUGCUUAGCUUGCAGUUGCAGUGUACCACCACCAGAUAAAACUGAGAUAAAACCGUUGACAAUAUCUAUCUUCGAGCAAAACUGUUCGAAGGGUCUUUCGGCACUUUUUUUUUUGCACAAAGCUUAAUCUGAGGACAGCCACGCAGGACAUCAAUUCUGAGCCCUGCAUAAUAGAUCAAAGUCAGUAUUUUGUCGAUGUCCCAGGAGCUAACUAUUUCAAAAUGCAUUCUUAAAUAUUACUAAAUCGGUAACAAUUUCAGCGCCCACCUACGAUACCCCAUAAUCUCAUUGGGCACUUCAAAUAGCACACCUCCCAGUUGAGCUAUAUUCACACGCAGGCAAUCAACUCCAGCUAGCUAAUAGUUCGAUCGAGCUAGCUUAUUAAUCUCGCAAGGCAGAUGUAAAUUUAGGAUUACCACAUAAUCACAUGUGGAAAAAAAUAUAGCAAUAAGUUCUAAACAUCCAAAGUCCACCAUGAAUAAAGCAUGCACGAUACACAAGUCAUAGCUGGUGGGUGAGCAGUUUACUUGAAUUCUCCCCUUCAGAAAUUAGAACAGCCUUGACCAGAAUAUAAAUUUAUAUACCACAGGCACUGCAACUUCUACAGUGGUACUGUAGUUGUUACAAGUCCCACCUCAGAAAUCACCUGCGUUGAAUAACUGACAGGUUUGGUAAGGGGCUUAAGGCUAUCAGCACCGCGUGAGCGGUAUACCCAUCUGCAAAAUCAUGGGGCCCACACGCUGUGCAGAUUUCCAUCCACGGAAUGCUGCCGUGAGGAGACCUCUAUACCCAUCUGCAAAUCCACGUGCUGAGCAACGAGUGGGCGUGGGGUCCCGUGCGCGGCGCUGGCAGCAGCUGGUGUGGGAGAGAGAUUGGGCUGGAGAGAGAGGAUAGCGUAGGAACACGCAGACGCUGGGUUUGCAGUAUCCCUGUAGGGAACGGUGACAUACAGAUUCAUAUAGAGACCUGCGCUGCAGCUACUCAACCUCCACAUUUCACGUACAGGCCCGCUUACCGCUCAACAGUGCGGAUAGCCUAACAUAAUUUGAGUGCGCACCAAAACAUGACAACACCACAAUCUGUUUACAUGAUAAUAGCACAUUGAUAUGUCAGAUCCUAUCCCUUGGUUAUAAUGCAAUGCAUAUGAAGAGUUGAUGCCUUCCAGUCACGAGGUAGUCACCUAAACCCUCUUUUGAAUUCCCCAGCAGGAACACCGAGGGUAGGGUAAACCCUAAACUUCGACAAGGUUUCUUGCAUAUAGUACCGAUCUCGACGUUCGUGACGCCUGCAAAGAGAUGCAAAAAGUCAGAUGCAUUUGUACCAAAAAUACGAGUUAUAUAAAAUUCUUUUCCCACAUGAAACUGCAGUGCAUAACCUAGUGAUGCAAUUUUACGUAUCUAGGUAUCUUACAUAGUGACCCUAGUAAAGUAAACCACUGCAGUUGUAAUAUUCAUCUGGGAGUUCCAAUUUUACAUGCUAACUAGAGUAGAAGCAAGCUAGUAUUGUUUAAACGCAAGCAAUGUUACCACACUAAAGAGAGAAUUAAAAUAGCAGCCAUCUUUUGUUCCAAUUUUACAUGCUAACUUGUCCUCAGAUUAAGCUUUGUGCCAAAAGGUGCCGAAAGACCCUUCGAACAGUUUUGCCCGAAGAUAGAUAUUGUCAGCAGUUUUACCUCUACUGCGUUUUGUUUUUGUUCGUCUUCACGCUGGGAUCCUCAUCCCGAGCUAUGCUGUUACAAAUCCCGAGCAUCCUUCCUGCUCGUUUGUGCUACAAAUGUAAAUUCUCCCGGCACAUGUUCUAGGGAAGUGAUCUGAAUACGGUUGCACUGACAUGUAUCCAAAAAAAUCUUUGCCACUGACGUUUAGCGUUGCCUAGAGGAAUUUUUAUGGAAUUGCCUGAGUAUGUAAUGUUGAUGCAAGUUGUUUUUCUUUUUGAAACUUAUUUUGAUGCAAGUUGUGGCAUGUGUUAAAUUUCAUCUUAGCGUUUUCCAUUGUGGAAGGUGAUCAGGCUUGAAUAUGGUUUCUUCUCCUGUUAACAGAAUCGCUACGGGUUAAGACAUCAUAAUAACUAGUAUUGGCCAAUCUUACCAUUGUACUGCUAUCUCUCAAGCUCGUAAUGCAGGACAGAUACCAGAUAAUCAGAACAAAUGGCAAGAUGAUUUUGGGGAUUAUGGGGUGGUUUUAUAGGUCCAACAGUUUACAUAAUAUUUUCCCCUUCAUAGACAGAUUAAUAGACUUCAUAUGUUCUUAUGUGGUUCUACAGUCCAGGUGCACAAUUGAGACUAUUUGAACGCAAAAUUUUGGUUCCACUCUUUUUUUAGCAAAGAGGUCCUCUUUCUCUAGCAUUGUGAUCACUGAUCAGGCGGCAGGAGAUACUACUUGGGAGAAAAGAAAGGUAGUUGUCAGAAAAGUAGAUGCUCCCUCGAAAAGCUGAAUGGAAUCGGCCAAAAAAUAAAUGCAGCAACCUUUUUUGUUUGUUGUUUGGGUUCCAAAAAACUGACUGAAAUCAUCAAAUAUUGCAGUCAAAAUUUCCCGUACCACAAAAUACUGUGAUUCAUUAUGUGUCAAAUUUCUAUUGGAUGGGAAAAUUAUUCAAGCCGCAAAGAAAAUUAGCCGAAUGUGUAGGUUCUACCAUUACGCUUUAUUCUGUACUUGUUGCUACUUGCUAGUAUAUGACGUCCGUUUUUUUUUUGGCCGUAUUAACAUUUGCUCGAACAGAGCACGCCCCCUGUUUCCAUUAAAAACCAGAUUCCAGCUAAACUAUCGUAUCUUCAUGUCCUAGGUUCACUGUAACAACAAGCUAAGUAGAGUGGGAUUCCCCAUUCUCUCAGUUCAAAACCAUUUUUGGUCGAAUCGAAUCCCAUCCCCUUGUGCAAACCCAUCGUGGAAAGCGGGCCGCUGGGAGGAGGUUUGAAAAUCUAGGCUAUUGGGCCUGUUGUGUGUGCGGGAGGACAGCCCAGUGCCCCCGGCCGGCCCACGGAGACGCGAUCAGGCCCACGCAUUAGUUGGCGCUCGUCUCGUCCUGCAAUAAGUUUCAGGACGCCUCUCUCUUCUCCUUUCCGUCUUUCGCUUGCCUGUCGGUUGCGGCUGCCUACGAGUACGGACGGCGGAGGCUGUUCCUGUUCUGUUACCAUGCGGAGCGGGCACAUGCGGCGCACCAAGAAGCUUGCCGUUGCGCGCAUGGUUCGUUGCUGGUUCGGCCGGCGCGUGAUCGGCGGUGGGGGCGCCGCGCGCGGGGAAGGGGUUCGCACAACGAAGCGUGAGUUACAAGCACCCGGAGCAAAAAUCUAUUUACACGCACAAGAGAUUAUCGACUCGGGAUCGGAUCUCUGCUAAUAAAACGAUCGGCACCUCGGCGCAGCAACAGGUGCAUACGCAUGCUCACAUACAUUAUAUAAGAGCUUGAUGAAACCUUAGCUGACUGACUUCUGACUUCAGAAGAGAACAAGAGAUGGCAGCCGAUGUUAUGGCAACAAAGCAGCUCAGGUUGGCACGGCAGGCUCCCCUACUACAAUUCACACAAUUAGAUGUGCACAGACGAUACUACAAUCUGACUCAACCAUACCAUAUGGCACGAGGAACAUAGAAUCAAAUUGGCUGUUGCCCAGAAACAACUGCAGUUCAAGCAACGGGUAAUGUUGCACUACAACAAGGCCUUCCAAGGAUUCAGGUACAGGAGAAGAUGGGCAACCCCAAUGAUCUGCACUGCAGGCAUCCCUUACGUUUAGGACCUAACUAAAAAAACAAACCAUCCCAAGUGCGGAGAGUAGUAUCUCCCUGGCAUAUGAUUUUUCUACACCAGUGAAUUUGCAUGUAAAGCAAUAUAGGGUAGUGAUCCAAAUUCUCAUAUGGUUUAAAGCACAAGCACAUUAGAAGCAAACUCCUAGUGGGGUGCAAAUGUCAAAAUGCAACAAGGUAUCACAGUUACUUGAGCUCUUUAACACAGCAGAGUAUCACAGUUUGGCAAGCUCGAAAGUUAUCAACCCAAUGGACAGCUAAGCUGUGAAGAGAUCAAAACCUCACUGCAUUGUAUGAUAACAAAAACAACAAUACAGCCACCGUUUUUCAAGAGUUCCAAUGAAAACAUCAGCACCGCCCCCUGCAACUUCAAAAAAGUAAACAACCAGCCACGGUAGAGUAUAGUUGUACCUACUGCGCCUCCUCUGCAUCUCGACUCUUCUUCUUUUUCUUCUCCUUUUUCUUCUCGCUCUUCUCAGAUUCCGCGCUGUCUCGGGUUUGAGCAAUCUCUGGAUCCGUGACAUCGCUUCCUUCCUUGCUCUUCUUCUUCUUCUUUUUCUUUUCGCUUCCAUCCUUCUCGUCAGCCACAUCAACCUUCUCCUCCUUCAGUUCCGCCGAUCCUGAUUCAGCCUUAUCUUUCUUCUUCUUCUUCUUCUUCUCACUCUUUUCCCCUUCCACUACCUCAGCAGCUUCCUCAACCUUGAUCUUCUUCACAGGAAUGGAAGCAUCACCAUCAUCAUUCUCCUCAUCCUUCUUCCUCUUCUUCUCCUUGACCUCUUCACCGCCGACAGCAUCCUGUUCCACCUUUGCCUUCUCUGGCUCAGGAGCAGCUGCAAUGCUAGCAAUCGAUACAUCACCGCCAGUGGGAAGCACCACAUUCCGGAGCCACUCAGCUGGGGUCUUCUCAUUUGGCUUCCCAUGCUUAUCAAGGAGGCCCUCAGCAAUCAGCUUUUUCUUCUUGAGGGCCACUGGGCCAAGCCCCCACUUCCUCGGGUAUGUGUCUCUGUCCAUCACAACCCUCUUGAUCUUUGCGACCGCACCAUGGUCACAAGUCGCCAUGACAGCAGUGGUCAUCUCAGCAAUACCUAUAGCAAUGGCCUCCCCCUUUGUUGUCAUCAGAACAACCUCCUCUCCAGUCUCAAUAUCAUUCUCAAACCGAAGCAACCCAGGGAUCAUGAGCUUAGCACCAUAGCAGAUAGCAUUCACAGCAGAGUCCUUCACAACAAGCCUCUUGUAGCUAGUAAGCAGUACCUCAAGCGGCAUGACGAUGCGCCUCAGGUAGGACUCGUCCUUGUGGUUGUCGAGCGACCACAUCGCGUCCAUCACAUCGUGCAUGGUCACCAUGUUGUCCUGCUCCCCCAGGAUCCCCGACCGGACACGGCGCAGCUCCUGCAUAUGGGCGCCGACGCCAAGGAGCAGGCCAAGGUGCACACAGAGAGUCCGGACAUAGGUACCUGCCUCACAGGAGAUCCAGAACACCGCAAGGUGGCGCUCGGGGUCGUGCUCCAGCAGCUUGCUCUCGUAGAUGGUCCGCACCCUGAGCUGGCGCUUCACCGCGGAGAUGAGCGGCGGGCGCUGGAAGACGGCGCCCGUGAGCGCCUCGAGCGCGCGCGCCACGCGGGCCGUGUCAGGCACGGCGGCGUGGAAGCGCGCGACGCAGACGUACUCCUUCCCGGCGCCCUGCUGCGACUUGACGAGGCGCGUGGCGCGGUCGACGCAGACGAUGAGGUUGCCUGUGACCUUGGGAUCGAGCGUGCCGCUGUGGCCGGUCUUCUCGGCGCGGAGGAGGCGCUUGAUCCAGGCCACCACCUCGUGGGAGGACGGGUUGGAUGGCUUGUCGAGGUUGAUGACGCCGUACCGGAGGUACUCGGCGAGGGGACGCUUGAGCGGCGAGUGGCCGGAGGGGAGAGGGGUGUAGUGGCCGGUGCGGACGUUGAGGCGGUCGUAGUUCUUGAGGAGGAGCGGCCAUGUGGAGGCGUCGAGGGACGGAACCAGGGACUGGGGCUUGAUUAGGUAGCCAUCGGUCUUCUCCUCGGCCUCGGCGAGCGAUGGCGGAUCGAUGGCGGCAGCGGCGUCCUUCGACUUGUGCUUCUUCUUCUUGGAUUUGGCUUGCUCGGAAGCGGGGGACGCGACGGCCGGCGGCGUGGACGACAUGGCGGCGGGGCGGGGGAUUGGGGGACUUGGGGAAUUGGGGGUACCUUCUAGUUGUCUCGGCGAGGGAGGGGGAACGAGGAAGGAGGGUUUAGGGUUUAGUGAGUGGACAAAUGGGCCGAUCGAGGCUCAUGGUGAUGGGCUUUUAGAAGGGCCAGGCCAGAUUAGAUGUUAAGGAGAAACGAAAGCUGAUUUGGCCCAAUGAUCUGGGUUGGGUAGUAAAAGUCAAAACUUUUUUUUAUCCAGGACCGUAUUAGCAGUGAUUAUUACUAAAACACAUAACAUUUUGCAUUCAUUUUUUUACAAAACUUAUUAUUAUUUACAAUGAAGGCCAAAACUAAGACAGAGACCAUAACAUGCUAGGCUCGAGACUUGAGAGUGAUUGUCAUGUAAGGUGCAACUCGUAAAGAAAGGCCUCACUCUCACCCCUGAAAAGCUUGUGGAAAGUUAGACAUAUGAAUUGCAAGAUGCCAAUUAGUCAGAGGUCAAAUGCUCAUAACUCAUAAGUGUAGCAAAAGAUGUCUGGCUAUACAUUUUCAUAUUUUCAGAGUUCAAACACACAUGUUUGACAUAUGCGUGAACUUGUGCCCUCUCAAUCUCUAUUGAUGAAUUGCGUUGACUUAUUGUUCUAUCAUCCACAUACACGGUGGGCGGCUGUACUUGAUGCUUGAUGGCGUAAUCCUUAACUAAGCUGGCGGCUGUACUUGAUGCUUGAUGGUGUAAUCCUUAACUAAGCUGUCAAGAACUACUCACUUGGCUACACAAUUAACAUCGUUGGCGGAAAACAAAAAAAAAAGAAACUGUGAAUUGGCUUCCACUCUAAAUCUCUAAUCACAUUGCAAAUUUAACCCUCGAAUACAAUUUUGUUAUUAUUAGGCCUCGUGCCAUCGUGUGUGUGAAGGGUCGAGAAUGGAGAGAGUCAGAAAAGGGUUGACCUUUUGGAACUUCACAAGGGCAAACAUGCAAUAACAAAAAUAUAGAGGGAUGGAGACGUAACAGCUCCGAGCUGAACUGUGAUGAGAGAUUCGCGACGACCUCCCAAAUGGGGAAACCCCGAGCUAAUCCAAACCCCCGCCGAUCUGAAUUCCCCAAAUCCCGCAACCGGAGCCCUAAUCCCUUCCAAAUCCCAUCUCCGAUCCAAUGCCUCCCACCGGCGACGACCCGUCGGCCGCCGCCGGCAUCUCCUUCCCCGACGCGGACGGCGGCGGCGGCGGCGAUUCUGAAGACGGCGACUUCGCCGACGCUCACCUCCUCGACCCUACCGAUCCGAGCCUCCACAACCCCACCACCUCCUCCGCCACCGGCCUGCCACACGCGGUCCCGGCGGGCGGGAGCGGCGGCGGCCCGGUCACCUCCGGCAACGGCGGGGAGCGGCGGCCCCUGUUCCAGCGGCUCUGGACCGAGGAGGACGAGAUCGUGAUCCUCCGCGGCUUCGCCGAGUUCACCGCCGCGCGCGGCACGGCGUUCGCGUCGCACCAGUACGACACCGACCCCUUCUACGAGGACAUGCGCCGCCGCCUGCAGCUCGAUUUCUCCAAGAGCCAGCUCGUCGAGAAGCUCCGCCGCCUCAAGCGCAAGUACCGCAAUUGCGUCUCCCGGCUCCGCGAGUCCGGCGCCACCUUCUCCUUCCGCUCGCCGCACGAGCAGGCCAUCUUUGAGAUCGCGCGCAACAUCUGGCGCCCCACAAAUAAACACGGCCGCGAUCCCUCGGCUGACUCUGACGAUGAAGACGCCGCCGCGAAUACCAGCCCCAAUGGGGAAGUCAAGUCGCCGUCGGGGCGACAGCGACGCCGCAGGCGCGCGACGGAUUUCGCGGCAGCCUCUGGCACUGCCCCUGCCACCAGCAUGGUGCAGCCCCCUCAGCCAGUGCAAUUGCCUGUGUCAGUGCCUGUCAAGAUGGAAGACUCCCUCCCAGCACUGCCCCAGACACAAAUGCCUGUGACAGUGACCAUGGAUGGCUCAGAGCCUCUCAGGUUGCCAGUCAUGUCACCUCAAUCAGGUGUUUCGGAUGCUGAGAAGAGUUGCCUGACUCCACUACUUAAGGAGAUGAUACGUGCAGUGAUAAAUGUCGGAACUAACCCCUUCGGCACAAAACUGCCGGAGCCGCCACUUGGGUUGCCCAUGGAAGGGGAGAAAUGGAGGAAGCAACGGAUUUUGGAGUUGGAGGUGUACUUGAAGAGGAUCGAGCUGCUGCAGAAUCAGGCAAAGGCAACACUGGAGGAGCUCAAGUCCUCAACCCCUGGGACUUGAUCCAUGAUAAGAUGAGAGCUCUUUCGUUUUAGGAUUCUUGUUAUGAUUCUUAGUGUAGAUGCUUAGGUGUUUUGCAUAUUUUUACGUCCAUAAAAGAAUAUUGUUAACUGGGUUGGGGCUUGGAACUAGUUUCUUUAUGGUUCUAAUUGUUCAUGUGAUAUUGGCUGCCAUUUCUGGUUUUCUCUGAUAGGUUCCUUAUGCUUUGUUUGCUUUGAUAGUGGUAUGCUUUGAGUGGACAGUAUAGUACCCUAUAGAAAGAAGAACAUUUGCAAUUAAUUUAUUAAGAUUACAGAUUAUUCUUAUUUUGUCUUGGCUUCUUAUUCUGUUUUAUGUGUGUUAUCAUGAAGUUAUAUGAUUAUAUUGAAGAGAUUAAACUGUUCCGUGGUAUUGAUGAUGGAUAGUCAUGUUUGGUAAGGUCAUGGAGAUUUUGUAGAGUAAAUGAGCACGAUUUUAUGGAUCUGCUUGGGAAGGCAAUAGGGAUAUACCAAGUGGUGAAAGCUUGACUUGUCUUGAAUUGUUGGCCAUGGCUAUGUUUCUUUCUUUCUUUUUUGUAAAGAUGCAGAAUUGCCAUGUUAUCUCUGCAUAAAAUAAAUGGUUAAUGGUCUGUCCCAUCUGAUUGCAUCUGUACUUACACUGCGAGAAUAUGGCAAAGCUGUAGGAGUAGUGUUAUGCUUGUUACUCAACAUUAUGCGCAGCCAUUCUAGAGAGCGGAGGUCGUUUUUGUGCAUCAAAUUUGGAGACAGAGCACCACACUUAACAGAAACUUGUAUACUAUAUAUCUGCACACAACAGAAUGUCAGAAUAUGACAGUAUGGCAGAUUAUUUUUAUGAUGUUGGUAGCCUGUGCAGGUGUAUGGUGGGCUUUACACAAGGGAGCCCUAAUCACCAGCUCACUGAUGUCCGUCGCAGCCACUACGCUUGUUGUUGUCAGAUCCUCCUGGUUUGUUCUAUAAGCCUUCUGGUACCUGUGUUCCCUCUCCUUGGCUCUGCUCUGCCUCAAGAGACAUGGGAAGGGAGAGGGGUAAGAAAAAAGAGGAAAGUAAAACAAGGGCCCAUAUACAUGCGCACUGCAUUUGCUGCUUAACUGUGGAACUUGGUUGCUUUACUCAGAUGGCGUCAUUGUGUGGAUUGAUUGCUUGGAAGUUGGAAAGAUUGAACAAUGAACGGAUGCUGUUUUAGUUUCGGUGUUGGUACCUUGUUCACCUUCGAACUGCAGUUCGGACGAGGGAGUUUAUGUAUCAUAUUGGCCUUAGCUUCUAUGUGCCCCCUCACUAAUUUAUUAUUGUGAAGUACCAGAACUGGACCUCUUCUUCUUCUGGCGAUCCCAAGUCCUUCAAUUUGUUUGAUAUGGUUUGCUCACUUCUGGGACUGACUGGUUUCUUCACGGCAGUUGUAAUUCUCCCAUUGCUCUUGGUUUAUACGGAAGACAUCAAGAUGAGAUGCAACACUUCGUCUUAUGAUCAAGGUGUGAACUUUGUCUGUAGUUACGUGUCUUAUGAUCAAGGUGUGAACUUUGGCUGUAGUUACGUUCUCUGUAGUUGCAUGCCUGGAAGUUCAUAUGUACCGUGCGAGACCCCUAAUGUAUAUAUUUUUUCCGUAGCGGGCGAACGGGAAUCCCGUUGCCCUAAGCAAUUAUCGUGUAUCGGUUUCACUAUUAUCGUGUACCGGUUUCUUGUGAGCGGUUGAGAAGGGUUAUAAAAAUGACACGCUCAAUUAACGUGGUUUUCUCAGUUGUGCAAGCGACCACUCAUAUUAUGCGCAUGGCUGCAUUUGCUCCUGAGAUUUGAUGUUUGACUUUUGGUAGGGUAUCGAUGUUUCAUGUAUGUUUGUGAAGAAGAGGUUCCUCGUAGAUGUGCCUGUCAUUGAGUCACUGAUUCGUGGGUCCGGUCCUAUAUGUUAGUCACCUAACUCGUGUUUGUUAGGUGCUGAGUUGAUGUUGCACCCGGCAUCAGCUUGCAUCGGUGACUUGGUGUGCCUUUGUGUUAAUGGAAUUUCACAGUUCCUGUGAAAAACCUCAUUCAUAUUUGUUUUUUUAAAGAUUCAUAUUCAUAUUUGCAGUGCUGGAAUUUUCUAGGACCGAAAACAUGGCCAGCUCAAUGCACCAUCGGCUCUGCUGCAAUUUUUUUUGAAAAAGACUCUGCUGCAAUUUCUCCUCCUCCAAGCCAAACGGGAAGCCAAGACUCUGCUGCAAUUUCGCCGCGUCUAUCACCUGACGAGCCCUUACAAUACUCUCCCGUUAGGAUUUUGGAGGUCUGAUAUGUCAUGCCACGUUAGGAUUUUGGCAAAUAUGCAAGGACUCGUAAUUUGUUAGAGCAUUUCUAAAACUAUCAUUUGAAGAGUGAUUGUCCGUAAGGAUGGUAAAAAAUUAAAGGUCAGUUUGAUAAGGUUCCAACUCCUCCUAAUAAGAGGAGAACCUGAAGCCUCUGAAGCCUCAUCUCCUCUUGGUCUCCCAUCAUCCAGAAAUUUGCAAAUUCAAAUUUGAGUUUCGCGCCGGAGUGACAUUAUGAAACGGUGACUGCACGCUAGAAUGCCAUUUCAGCUUUUCUAAUUCAUUUAGUUUCUUUUCUCCCCUCUUUAGCCACAGGAAAAGGCUGAAUUGCCCCCAGCCUGCCUUCUUUUCCCUCACGCAAGCAAAGCUUCACGGCGGCGGGCCUUGGUGGCACACUGGCACUCGAGCUUGAUAGGGAGGGAGUUCGAACCGCGGCGAGGCAAAAUAGAAGGCACGGAUGCUUGAUUCCAUGGCAACAAACUUGAUUCAGGCAAACAUUAGGUAAUGCAAAGGUCGAUUUGUGCUCCAUUGGGUCUCGAUUUGCUAGUUUGGAGAUUGAUUUGAGCUGCUAUGGUGUUUGGUUCAACAGCAUGACAUCCUCAUAUUGCUCCACGGGGCCUUCUUGUUUUCACAAAAAGCACCCAGUCAUCAUUAGCGAGCGCGAGGUCAAGUCUGUGAGAUGGGCAGUCUUGCGGCAAAUCUAGCUGCCGGUCGUCACAAGCUGCAGGCUGACCUCCAUCACUGGCCGUCGCAGGCCCCGCCAUUGGGGGACGCCGCCGCCGACUUUGCCUGCGCGAUGGCUCCUGGCCCAGCGAAUCAAGCCGGAGUUCGCUCCUCUUCGGCAGUUGGGCCCGUGGCCCCGUGCUUCAUCGUCGGCGCGCUGCAGCACGCCGCUGCGGAGCGGUGGGACGCUGGCUGCUGACGAUUCAGGCGGGGCUAGGCGGGGCCGAGGCCCCGUAUAGCCCCGCGUUGGCCGGCGGUGGCCCAGCUCCGCUCGUUCGUCGUGAGAGAUAGAACAAGGCUGGAGGAACGGGAGAAGGAAGAAAGAUGAAGAUAAGGUUCGAUCCAGCGGCAUAAUGGUCUGUUCACGAGCCAUGAAGUAAAGGAAAUCUUUAAAUCAAUUAAAAGUAAAGAUGAUGAAAAGGCAUUUUGGCGAAUGGCCACAGUUUUUAUAAGGUCAUCCGCAACAGUCCUAGCUAAUUGCUAGCUUGGAGCCAUCCAACUCAGCACUAAAUAGCUAACUACAUCUAUAUAGUGCUAGCUAUUUGUUAUUUUUAGUACUUUCAUGCACAGAGAAAGAACGGAUGUGGUGGCGAUUUGGCGCAUCGUCGCGCGUGCGAGCUGAGCGACGAGCAAGUCGCCGGCUUGAAUAUUUUGCAUCUUCUCUUUCCUCCACAUAGGAUAUAUGCUGAGCUGUACACUCAAAUAGCUAGCUGACUCAGCACCAUUGCGGACGCCCUAAUGCAAUCUAGCGAACCCAAAUUUAUGGCACUCGCGAAGUCCACGUCAGAGGACCCCUCAUCCAUCUUUUUUUAAAAUACGACCCGACAGAGAUUGCUAUUAAUUAAUAGUGAAGAGAGUUACUAAACUAGGCUGAAAAAAGAAAAGCAAAUUGUACGAUAACUAUACAGUUUUGCUUAAAAAGGUGAUCACUUCUUAAUUUGACAGAUAUCGCUCGAGACCUUACACCCGUUAAAAUCUAACAUCGUGCUUCCUCCUUGAUUUUGCGUAGUAGUUAGUCCAAGCUUUUAAACUUUCGCUGGAAAACUCUUUCGUUGCGUUCCUUCCAAAGCUCCCAUGACACAAGAAUGAUGAGGGAUUUCAAACCCUUCGGGGACGCGCCAGGCAUAGAUCCUAAUUGUAUCCACCGUUCACCGACGAAUAACAAGGUAGACUAAUCCCGCCUCGACGGAUGACAAGGUAGACCAAUCCUGCCUGGGUGGUAUGUGUGUGGUCAUCCACUCAAAGAUUUUAUUCCAAAGUCCAACCGUGUAGCGGCAGUUUGUUAGUAGGUGCAGCAACGUUUCAUCAUGCGUAUGGUAAAAUAUACAUAUUUUUUUAGUUAGAUCAUCCUGUUAUGAUUAGUCGAUCCACUGUCUAUAAACGAUUUUGGAAGGCUAGCCGUGAUAAGAAUUUACACUUUGGGCGCCCACUUCUUACAUAUGAGUCGCUCCAUCUCGGAUGGUGCUGACCCAUCAUCCCAUCGACCCAUCCCAUCUCAAAUCAUCCCAUCUCAAAAAGAAGGCUCGCAUCAUAACGCCCGCCAAAAAUGGCGGGCCUCGGCGGCGGAGGCUGGGGCGGCUACUACGACGAUGACGACUGGGACCUCAGCGCGGAGCAGCUGGACCAGAUCGAGCGGGACGCCAUCCGCCAGCUCGCCGAGCGGAAGGCCUCCUCCUCCGCGGCCUCCACCGCCCCCGUCCCCGCCCCCGCACUCGGGGCCGUCUCGCCGCUCCCCUCCCGCGCCACCGCGCCGGCGGCGGCCGCCUCGUCGCCUCUCGGGGGUAACCACCCCGCUGCCAGGGCCUCUUUGGAGGCCCGCUUCGGCAAGGUUAGGGCUUCUCUGCUCCGUUGCUGUUUUGUGCGGUUACUUGUUGGCGCAUUGGGGAUUGGCUCGGUGCUCGGAUUAGUGGAUCCCUGUGGCAAGGCACAUCGAGGACUUGUUGUUCGGUCAAUCCCCUCUACAAGUGGAUUGGAGGGGAUUUCGACUUGUAGGAGUUUCUUUGCUCCGAAGAUGUUAAUCCAUUCGGAAAAUGGUUCUCUUAUCUCUUUUCUUUUAAGCUCUUAGUACUUUGUAGCGACUUUCCCUCAAAAAAUAGAGUUAAUGAAGCAGUUCGUUACUGUGAUACGAGUUUCGAGUUUCGAUCAAUGCAUAUGUGGUGGUAUACUUGAGAGCUUUCUCAUCAAGUCAUUCCGUGGAACUGGGUUCUUUUGGCGACUCGAUUUUCAGUUUGAAGAAAUGGCGAUUUUUUCUGUGUUUUCUAAGUCCAUAGUUUCGUGCGCAACAUUGAUGCGACUGGUCUGUAACUAGUUAUGUUCAAUUUACUGUUGGGAUGUUUGUGGUUCAAGUACCACCAGGGUAGGUGAUAAUAAGCUCAAUCUUGAUGUAGGAUUAUUUCCAAUUUGUUGUCUUCAUCUUGAGGUCCAGUUAAAAAUAUCUUUUCUUUAACAGUCUUUUUAUAUGUCCUGCAUUUUAGCAUGCAAGAUUGAAAAGCAAACGUUAAUCGAUAGCCUUUUCUCUUGUCAAAAUAAAAUCGAUGGUUCUGGCUGGAUUAUCGAUACCUUUGGUGUUGAGAGGAUCACUGUUUUAGCAAUAGUUAACCUGUUAGACAUAGAUGUUUUUUACUGCUGCAGCUCUUAGAUUCUUUUAUAUUCCUAGCUUACAAUAAACGUGACCCCUAUACUUUUCAAUUUCACUUUUACUCCUUCAACUUAUUUCUCAGGUAGAAGCACUUUCUCCUAUGAGAAAUGCAGGUAAACAUCAUUACUCGUGCUUUCAAUUUGUCCUAUAACUAAUUCUUAAGUUUAUUUAUCCUUUUCUUUUCAUUUGCCAUUCAAGUGAAUAAUAGCCAGGGCAGUGCACCUAAGGUAUCUGUACAUCUUUUCCUCCAUUCUAGCGGUGUGAUUGCAGCAAAGUUCCCAUACCACCAGGUACAUUCCCCACAAUAGAUCUUGAAUAGGUUGUCAGUGUCACUGAGGUGCUGUUCGGAUCAUUAGUUCAUGGGCUAAACUUUAGCCCCUAAACUUUAGUCCUGCUGGGCUGUUUGGAUCCAUGGGCUAAACUUUAGACUUUCAUCAAACAAUGACUGAUUUGCCUCUCAUUUAAUGACUCCAUGCACAUGCGAGUGGGGUUAUGGGGUGUCCAGCGCCCGCCCCGAGGGACUUUAGCCCAGUUUAGGGCCUCUUUGGGAGCAAAAAACUUUAGCCCAGAUUUUAGCUAUUUGCUCACUUUAGCCCACCUGUUUGGAUCCCCAUAGCAAAAAAAUGGGCUAAAAGUGCAGGACUAAAGUUUAGCCAUGGGAUCCAAACAGGGCCUGAAUUGUAUCAAAAUAUAAUUUGCUUGCUUCUGCUUAUUUUUCAGUUACUUGUGGAUGCAUGUCGCAAGAUCCCGAAAGCCAGCUGGAAUGCGAAAGAAAGGUUUUCUUUACUUUUCACACACUCCUUUAAUUUCCAUGUUCAUUAGAUAUUCUCUUAGACAUGGAAAAACUUGAUGCCUGCUGUUAACUUCACUGUUUAUUCUGAUCGUUUUUUACUUAAUCCAAAACAAUAGGAUAUGGAUGUUCCCUCCCUCAUCUUUAUCAAUAGCAGAGGAGGUUCUUGAUUCAGUGCAUGGAUUAGCUGUAGAGGUAACAGUUAUCAUCUGUAAUCCCGAAAGCUAUGAUGCUGUUUGUUGCAAGAACGUCUUUUUGAUUAUUUUAUUUUAUUGCCUUCUUGCUUAGUUGGUUAACUUAUAUGCUAUUCCUACUCAAGUACUCAACUUCUGCAUAAUUUGCAUGGUUAGCCAUUAAACAUAAUCAAAUUCAAUGUAGCACAUAAAAAAGUAUGAGCAUGAAGUUAGGACAAAGCUGUUAUGGCCGCAAGUCCAUUUUGUGUAGUUCUGUGUGUUUUUUAAUUAUGUGAGGAUGUUUGCAAAGCUUGUAUUUUCAGCUUGCAAAAACUCAAUAGACACAAGUUUUAAGCUUCAUUAUGCCAUCCUCCAUAUCAUAGGAAGCUUUUCAAGACUCCUUUUUCUCGAACGUGCAGGAGAACUGCAUUUUUUAAUACUUCAAACAUGACCUAUUUUGAAAUUUCUGUCAUGUGCAGAGUAAUUUUGACUUCUGAGCAUAUAUUCAUUCUGAUCAUAUAGUGUACUUCCCUAGCAGGUUCGCAAAUUGGAUCCUCUAGUUCAGCGUGCUUUAGUGGCUGCUUUAGCCUCCAAAGAUCUUCGAGGUAUCAAAAAGUUUCAUAUUGUGCUUAUAAAAUUUACAUUCACCCGAUGCAUAGAUACUGUAUACUUGUAAAUUUUGCACCCACUUGUCACCAAGGUGUUGUCAGAUAUAAACUUUCUUUCUUUCUUUAGUAUCCGCUUGAAAUAUAUAAUGAAAAUAUGAAAAUCCAAAUAUUUCAUUGUGCAAUGCAGAAUGCGAAUCAAAAUGAUCUGUUAUUAAUAUUUUCUUUUGAAUUUUGGACUUGACAUUUUGCAUGCUGCUAACCUCAUUUUUCUUGGAGAAGGUUUCUAUGACAGGAUUCCCCCUGAAGUUGAGUCAAAGCUUAUGCCAUUUCAGCGUGAAGGCAUCAGGUGUGGUAAUUCAACAUUCUGAAACUCUAUUUUAUGCAUAAUGGUGAAAAAAUCAAUUCCAAUAUUGGCAUGUUUUGCAUUAUAUUGAGCUUAGUAACCCUAAAAUCAUUUUAUAGGAAAAGGUAAAUCACCGGUGGAUGGUGGUCAAAUAUUCCUCCAAAAUAUUUUUUCUGUUCAAUUUACAUCAAGUGCAUUACAUACUUAAACAAUGAGAAGAAGAAAUAGGCACCCAAAUUCGAGCUAGAGGGGACUCGAACCUGGGUGGUUAGAGUGCAUGACCACACCUCCCUCUCUAACUAGUUGAGCUAGGCUCACUUCCUAUGACUUGCUGACUCAUAAAGUCAUACUGUAAACAAAAUGAACAGUAUGUUACUCAUGCUUUUUUUGUUUGGUAUCCAACUAUUCACCAUAUCAGAUGCCAAAUCUUGAGCUUGGUAGUAUGGUAACCAUAAGCCAGGAGCCUAACUAUGAACUUUGGAUCAUUGCAUAAGGUUAAUAGAUCAUAAUUAACCGUAUGCUUCACAUAAUUGCAGGUUUGUUUUACAGCAUGGUGGCAGAGCCCUGAUUGCAGAUGAAAUGGGUCUUGGAAAGACAUUACAGGUAAAGCAUCGUCUCUGAAUCAUGAUCAUCAUUAUUUUCCAUAUUUUCUGCGUUCAUGACCUCCCUGGCCUGCACUUGAUUCCAAUUCUUACACUGCAGAUGGACCCAUCAAUCAAUAAUUAAAAGUUUGAUAGUUUUACCUUUAGCAUUUCAUGCUGAAUGGAUUCACAUGAUGGUAUUGAUUUGUGCUAUCGACUUAUGAAUCAUGAUUUUUGAGACUGAUCAUCCAUGGCAUUUAGUUUGAUGGAAGUAAAGCACGUUAGUUCUUUUAGGCACUAAUUUUUUUUUCCUAAUUUCCUAUGCAGGCAAUUGCUGUUGCUUCUUGCCUUCAUGAUGCCUGGCCAGUUCUUGUAAUCGCUCCAUCUUCCUUGCGAUUGCAGUGGGCAUCUGUAAGCUCCUCUUAUUUUUUGCACCUGGCGAUUUUUCAUUUAGCAAUAGUUUCUUUAUGGAAAAGGAAGAUCUAAACUUGAUAAUUUAUUGUUUUGAUAGAUGAUUCAGAGUUGGCUUAACAUCCCCAUGGAAGAUAUCUUGGUACAUCCUAAACUUUUUCAUUCACUAGUUCUCCAUUAGAAAGUUUUAUUCUGCUAGUGAUCUUGUUUAAUUAAAAGCACGUUCGUGAAUUCUUCUCCAGAAGCAAAUUAUCCCUAUAUUUGUUAAUAUCAUGAUGAUCAUAUUGUGAAAUACAACAUAAUGAAGAAAGAAAGAAACCAUUGAAAUUUUUUGUAAUUCCUGGCUAACCUGGAUAAAGUUCUUUUUGGAUUGUAAGCUGACAUAUCACUAUUAUCUUAUGUAUACAGGAAACUUGAUAUGGAAUAAACCACAUAGUUUGACAAGUCCUAAACAUAAAAUAUGCAAAUUUAUUUCGUUCCUUAUGCUGAGGAUAUGGAUUAUUGUCUUUUCAGGUGGUAUUGCCACAAACUGGAGGAUCACAUAAGGCUGGAUUCAGAUUGGUUUACUCAAACACUAAAGGAGAUUUUCGCUUGGAUGGGGUUUUCAAUGUGAUAUCUUACGAUGUAGUUCCCAAAAUACAAAGCACACUUCUGGAUUUGGAUUUCAAGGUAGAUUAUUUUGUCGUAUAUUUCAUUUCAUUUGAGAACUAUCUUCGGAAAGGUACGCAUAAAAAUCAGCAAUACAUGUGCCCGAUCCAUGACCUAGGCUACUGGCCCCCCUUAUACUAUUAUUGUUACUACUACUAUAGUACUAUUAGUACUACCUCUGUUUUAUUCUCUUAUCUAUGGCUUUUUGUCAGGGUUUCACCUCUAUCCUACCCAAACUUGCUUGGGACUUAAAAUUUUUUUCAUUUCAUUUGACAUCUAUCUACUCAAUACAAACACUUUUCUUAUUGAAUAUAUCCAGAGGAUUGAUUUUACACCUAAAUGAUUUCACACUUUUCUUAAAUUUGUGGUAGUAUAGGACCAUCAAACUCAUUUGAUAAAUAUGAGUAUUCAUGUAGAUUAGAGAUUGCUUGGCUGUGGAAGGAGGUUUCUUUUGUUUUGUCUCAGCACUGGAUGGAGUGAUAUUUUUGUACGUGUGUCUGAAGUAUUUUUACUAUAUUAUAAGAGUUCUGUUGCUGUCUUUGCAGGAUGGAUUAGUAUAGCUACUUAUUUAAAUUACGAAUACUUAGGAAGUUAGGGGAUCGAUUUAUCACUUGAUUGCACCGGAACAAAUAAGGUUUCAAACUAAACCUUCCAAAAAAGGAUCAAAUACUUUUCAUAGAAAAUAUCUGACCAUUUAGAGAUACAAUAAUGCAGACACCUUCCAUUUUGCAUGCAUGUACAGCUAGAACUAGUGACGCUAUUGUUUUCUGAUUCUAUUUAAUUGAAAUACAAAUAGUUAUAUGUUUAAUCUAUCUAUAACCUCUUAAAUGGUUUUCAUCCAGAUUGUUAUAGCUGAUGAAUCACAUUUUCUGAAGAAUGGCCAAGCGAAGAGAACGAUUGCUUCACUUCCUGUUCUGCAGGUUUGGUAUUUCUUAUGAGAAAAUGCUUUUUCUUUGGGAGCAUGAAUAUGAUGUCCUAAUUUGGACAAGACGCUUGCAUCACGGCCAAUUACAAUUUCGUGAUCCUCAGAUCAUUAGAGGUAAACAUCAUACUGAAGACGGUCAAAUGGGGAUGACUGGAUGGAUCAGGAUGAAUGAUAACCAGACGGGUGCUUUAGAAUUUAGGUCAAGAAAAGAUUAACUCAUUUUUGCUUUAGCAGCCAACCACCCCUCAUUUAUAGGUGUGGUUGCCUCCUAACAAAAUCUCUAUACCAAAUUUUGUCUUUAUCUCUUAUCCCUUACAAACACUUCUCUCUAGCAGACAAUCUGUUAGCUACACGAUAGACAACUAACCUGGGACCAAUACUACAGCACUGUGCAAUAUGAUUCACAUGAACAAUACAACUUUGCUCAUAACACAGACUUCACUUGAGUGGCGUUGUGUACUUGCCUAGUUCUUUCAUAGUUUGUUCUGGCAAAUAGUUCCAAACUUUCACAAAGUCCUGCAUGGUGCUAGUCUGACCGUGAUGAAUUGUUUAUAUAGUUUUAUCAGGUCUGGAGGCCGCAUUGUUUUUUAAAUACAUUAUUCUUGCUUUAGGAAACAUUGUCUUACCUGAUUAGGUGACCAGUAGGGGUUUCUACCCAAUUAAUAUACGGAUUUGCAGAACUAAUUGUGACUUACAAUCACAGAAAGCUCAAUAUGUCAUUUUGCUUAGCGGAACUCCUGCUUUGUCUCGCCCGAUUGAGCUGUUUACUCAGGUAAACGUUGUUUCCAGAUUUAGCUGCACAUGUUUAAUAAUGCUUAAAAGUAGAGUGACAACUAAUUUUUCUGCAUAUCCAGCUCCAGGCACUGUAUCCUACUGUGUACAAGAAUGUUAGCGAGUAUGGCAAUAGAUAUUGCAAGGGUGUAAGUACUAGAUUUAUCAAAUUACUUCAUUUUCUGUUGCCAACUGUGACUGAUAAGUACAUGAUUUUUCAGGGCUUUUUCGGGGUGUAUCAAGGUGCUAGCAACCAUGAGGAGCUGCAUAAUCUGAUGAAAGCAACUGUCAUGAUCCGUAGGUUGAAAAAAGAUGUCCUUUCACAGUUGCCUGUUAAACGUAGACAACAGGUAAUCUCAUGGGGGAUUUGCAUCAUCAUAAGAAAUGUUGAUUAACUUCAUUUUGUAAAUUAGAAAUAUUCCUUUUUGCUCAACUCCAAGAGUUCCAUUUAAACUGACAGUUACUCAGGUCCAUUGAUCACUAUCACAAACCUUUUAAACAGUGCCUCAUUGCCCAAUUGUUUCUGUGCCUUUUUAUGUUGGCUAUGCUUCUUGUUUCUUUGCAAUGGUUAAAACUAUAGCAUUGAGAAAAUCUGUUGAAUUUUGUUUUGAUGAUCUUACACACUGAGUCAGUAAGAUAAUCUUUUGGGGCAUAGCUUUUAUGUGAUCUUAGUUCUUAUUGUACUGGUAUUUUUCUUGAAUAUACACUACACUUAAUGAUUUCAUUUCUCGUCAAUCUUUCAGAUCUUUCUAGAUUUAAGUGAGAAAGAUGUGAAAUAUGUCCGUGCUCUGUUUCAUGAGGUAUUAUCUGUUUCUAUCCUUUCCCCGCAAAUGAUAUAUUGUAGCAUAUGAGAGCACAGAACUAGUUUGUGGUAGCGCAACCCAUCUGGAUUUCAUAUAGUGACAUUGUUUGAGCGACAUACUCCCAUACAUGAUUAUUUUUCAUUACUGAAGAGCUUUCAGAUGGUGUACUGGUUUAAUCAGUACCGAGUCAUAUGAUUUAUAUUUACUGAAAUUGCACAAUUGUCAAAAGUAAGAAUAUUUUAUUCUUCUCAUAUUAUUCUAGAAAAGUAAAAUGCUCGUUGGACUUUUUUUCUUUGCAUGUUUCUAUCAUUUAGGUGUUUUUGAAACGCUUCAUCUUCAUUUUUUUAACAUGGAAACAGAGGGAAAGUAUGCUCCCCUUGGUUUUUAUUUCGUUUCUACAUCAGUGCAAUCAUUUAAAUUACCUUUUUUAUUUGAAAUUAUUCUAAAGGAAAGUGUGAUUUUGCUAGUUGGAGACUCUGAAGAUCAAAAUCGAGUCCGCUGACUCCAAGGAGAUGAUUGACUCUCUCAAAUUUACUCAAAAGAACCUUAUCACUAAGGUAAUCUGGAAGUGCACCCCUUUAUGCUCUUAUAAAGUUCAUGGGCGUUAUUUCCUUAGCAAGUAUCCUACUUUUUUAUUUACUAUAAACCAGAACCAUGUAACUCCGCCAAAGCUGAAAUAUUAUUCUUGUCUUGGCAUGCGUUACUUUUAGUUAAAAUUACAGUUUCUGCAUUUUUUUAGGUUCUGUUGGCUUCUGGCAUGUGAAUUAGCCAAUUUGGUAAUACUGCAAUUUUAAUUCUGAAAUCUUUGGAUAGGUCAUUCGUUGAAACACUCACAUAAAGUUCAUCAUCUUUCUUUUUCGUUCUUCUAAGUGGUAAAGCUAGCACUGAAAUCAGGAGCAUAUUCUUUUCCAUAUUAUACAAUUGUAUUCAUCUUUGUUAUUUGCACUUGGCAUCAAGAUUGAUUCAUGUUAUACAUUUUUCCCCUUUCAUUUAGCUCACUGUGAUGAGUCUGUAUCUGAACUAGUCUGGAUGCAUGAUUCUGUUUCAUCCUUUUUCAGCUCUACACUGAUUCAGCCACAGCCAAAAUUCCAGCUGUGUUAGAUUUCCUGGGCACUGUAAUUGAGGUGAUUACAUGAUAUUAUGAUUCUGUAAAUUUAUUAAAUUGUCCUUUUGUUCUACCUUCAUGCUACCAUAUAUUGAGAAAACUGCCACAAACUUGCUAACUACUGCCAGUUUCAUGAUUCCAAAUGAUGAUUGUAUCUUCUUCCUGAAGCUGAUAAUCCUGUUGAUUUUUUUACCAACUAACUAGCUAUGCAUGGCACUCAUAAUUUCCCUGUGUUCCAUUUCCUUUCAUGGGGACCAUAUUUUAACAGUGUACGAUUUGAAAAAAGGAGGCAAUAUCCCUCCUUUUCAUUUUUUUACUGAGACAAACUUGAUGCAACUCUAGUUAGAGCUGAUCUUUGUUUCGUUUGUUGGCCCAUUAUUCUCAUUUGAAUUAUGGAACAAAACUUACAAGUAACGGCUAUUGCCUUACCUUCUACAUCCAGGCAGAUUGCAAGUUCUUAAUAUUUGCUCAUCAUCAAAACAUGGUUGAGGCCAUCGAACAAUAUCUCUUGGUAAGAAUCUAAUAAUGUAUUUGAUGUUACUUGUUUAUGAUGCAUCUGGACCAACUAUUUAUCACCAUAUUUCAGAAAAAGAAAGUGAAGUGUAUCAAAAUUGAUGGCCAGACGCCUGUAACUACAAGACAAACCUUAGUCACAGAUUUCCAAAAUAAGGAUGACAUCAGGGCAGCUGUGGUACGUUUUUACCCAUCUUCUGUGCUUAAUAUUCAAUUUUAGUUUUUUUCUCAAAUCCUUCUUAAUGAACAUUAAGUUUCUGGCAGAGUUGUUGAGAAUCUUUUUUCUCUAUAAAUUAGAAAACAAGAAACUGUAUAUUGAAGGUGAUAACUGGUGGCUGAUAUUUCAAGCUCCAGCAAUUAGUCACUGUAUAUUCUCUAUUUUUUUUUUUGAAAUUUGCUGCCGUUCCUGCUCAAUAAUCUAGCUGUGGCAUUGUUGGCUGGAAUUGUCAGCAAUUGUAUACUUUUAGUUUCUUUUAGGAUAACUUCUACCUUGGCAAUAGUAAAUUUGGGUCCUUAGAUAACAAGUUGUUUCUAUGAAGGUUUCAAAACAUUUUUAGUUAACUGCCACGAAAUACGUGGUAUUAUGCAAUGUUAAAAACUAUGCGGAUAAUUUUCUUUUAAUCAAAUUUCCUGUAGUGUGUUCUUGGUUAAAAUCUAAUGAGAGCCUAGAACUGUAGUUAUCCAUCAGAGCUGGAGGCUACGGGUUAACUUUGACAGCAGCAAGUACAGUAAUCUUUGCUGAGUUAUCAUGGACUCCUGGCGACAUUAUUCAAGCUGAAGAUCGUGCCCACCGGAUCGGUCAAGUGAGUAUCACACUCGUGAUUUUGUAGCCAGCAGAGCCCUUUAUUUUUUUGCUGUGAAUUUUAUGAUUUGUUGAUUUGAUGGGACUGCAUCAAUGUUUUCUGUGAUAAUUUAUCAGUAAGCAUUUUUAAACAUUUAUGGACCUUCAGUUGAUAAUUCGAAGUUCCACUCUUAUUUUCUUAACAAUUCCAGGUUUCAUCAGUCAACAUUUAUUACCUUCUCUCAAAUGACACUAUAGAUGAUCUUAUGUGGUAUGUCCUGAAACUUUGUUUUCCCUAUGUACAUGUAGUGAUUUAGGUCAUGUACUCAGUAGGUUUUUUGUUCUGGCUUUGCUUCCCAGGGACGCUGUUCAAGGCAAACUUGAAAAUCUGGGACAGGUUCUCUCCCUCCCUCCCUCCCUCCCUCCCUCCCCCUCAUAACACUAAGUUUUUUAUGACAAUGAUCGACACCAUGAGUUCGACUGAGGAAGCAAUCCUUUUGUUAUGUUCUUCAGAUGCUGGAUGGGCAGGAGAAUACGCUGGAUGUUUCCCAGAUCGACUCCAGGCCAAGCCCCUCAAAGCAGCAGAAGACGCUUGACGGCUUCCUCAAGCGGUGCAGCACCUCCACGGAGGGUCAGCCCAGCACGAAGCACCCUCGGUUCUGAGGGACCAUCGCGGAUCAAUGUGUCGCUGUGAACGCGUAGGAAUGGCUGUGCUGUAGGUUCUGUUUGGAUUACGGCUGAUGGUAGCCGUGGUUGCACCGGCAGGGUCGGUUGCAGUGCUGUUGUAUUUUGGCUCUUGGUUGGUUGUAAAUGCCAUGUGGAGUUCUUACAAAUAACUCGGGUUUGUAAAGUAGAUCAUCAAUGAUCCACAUGUUUGUUAUGCUGAUUGCAACGUGCCACCCGUUGCUUCUAUUCUAUUCGCAUCUGCUUGUGCUCUUCAAGCCCUGGCGAUUUGAUGGACCAGAUUAUUUCUUUGACUAUCAUAGACUCGUACUAUGAAAGACUUUGAACUGAAAGGUAGCACUAGCUCUAUCAUGAACAAUUUAGCACCUGAUUUGAGUGAAGUUGUGCAAGUUGGAGUUGUAUUUGUUUGAUAUGUAUUUAUAAUUUUUUAAAAUGGGAAGAUUUGUAUAAAGUUAUAGAGGAGAAUUUUUUGACUGAAAGUUGAGAGGAGAUGCUAGUGCCAUAGAUAGGCCGUACCAGAAUCACCCUUUUCUGUCAAAAUGCGAACGCUUGGCGGGCCUGUAUUAUACUGGAGAAAGGCCUACUUGUAUCCCGGGCCCGGCCCACGCAAUGAAAACCUAAGCAGCUCGAGCGCUUGUCAUUUUCCUAGCAACGGGCAGCUCACCUCGAGGCCACCUCGAGGCUGCGACGGCCGACGGCCUCGGGAGAUUUCUCCAGGAAGAGUGUUAAUGGGCCUGAAGUUUAAUGGAGGAAGGGCCUCCCAAAUCCUGGCCCACUAAAUGAAAACCUAGGCCACGGAGCUCAUCUCAACGCCGCCUUCCUACGCUUGCCAAUUUCCGCCGACCGAAUACAGCCGGCGGUGACCUCGACGCUGACACCUGUGACGGCUUGAGGGGACUUCACCCGGCGACCUACCGACGGCUGACCUCAAUCCGGCGCCCGGCGGCUUCUACUCAGGUAAACCGCUGAGGAUUUGAGGCUCGCGGUUCGAGUUUCGCGGCCUUAGCUUGUGACCCUGCGCCGCCAACGGUUCCUGAUUUAGUCACUGCACUUCGAUCUUGCAAGUCUCAAUUUCUCAAUGUUCAGUUUCGUAAGCGUCCCUGUUCUGUCCUUUGCAGUAGCGUUCCGCUCUCCUGGGUAUUGGGCUAUUGGCAGUCUCUGUUUGGUGCCGAUGAGCAAGAAGAGGAAGUCUCUGAAGCCAACCAAGUCGUUGAGAGAUGCUGAAGAAGUGUAAGCGCUUUGCCCCAUUGCCAUAUUAUUAUUUUCCUGGUUAAUGAUUUCUGAUGCUCUCUUUCGAUUCCUCACGCUGCUAUUUCACUGGUGUACUUUCGUUAUGCAGACUAACUCCAGAUUACAUUGUAGGAGACGCUCUUGACGACCUAUUGUCGAAACUUGUCAGGUAACAGCAGCUAUCACUCCUCACCCCCCCCCCCCCCCCCCCCCCCCCCCCCCCCCCCCCCGCGUCGCUUCAUUCUGAGAUUGAGAAAGGCCUAAAAUAUUUUCUUCUUCAGGAGUGUAGAGGUUGCAAAGGCUUCAAGGGGAGGUUUACCAGAAAAUAUAUGGAUGAAGGUAUGUUAUCCUUACCUGGCUUCACCAACAUUUUGCCAUCUGUUCUCCUGAGCAAGCUCAGUACAUUAUGUUUUUUUUUCUCUUGCAAUUAUGAUGUUUUGCCAUUGCAGAAACAAUUUGCUAUCGGGGUCAAUGAUGUGACAAGGGUUCUCGAGAGAAUGCCUCCCGCUGCUGCCCCUGAUUCUGCUCACAGUUCUAGUGAAGCACAAACUGUCUCAGGUCGGCGUAGAGCUCCUUUGGUGCCACUGCAGGUUAGUUUUCUUUGCAUCUAUAAGCAAUCUACCUAUGAAUUUGGACUACUGGAGUUUCUUACGUAUAUAUGUUAGGUGGAAUGAGAUGUGAUCGUAAUUGCAGCAUAUUUGGUCUAAUCCAUUAUGCGUUUUAGUGAAGACGAAGACAUCAGUGUGUUACUGCUUCCCUAGGAAAAAAAUUCCUGAACUUUGGUCACUUGAACAUAUUUUUGUUGCAUACUGUGAUGUUAUGCCUAAUAAUACAUUAUUGCAUCAAAUAUAUACCAUCUUCUGCAAAGUGCAAACAUAUUCAUUUGUAUUGUUUUACUUCUACAUCAUUAGCUUAUUCUGUUUCAGCUCUGUGGGCAACAAUUAAAUGAGUCAAUUAGGGGUAUGUGGUGAUCAUGUUCAGUCAAGAGCAAAGAAGGGCAAUUUCAAGUGCUGAAUACAUCUAUGACCACAAUUUGAUGAGGAAUUCUGAAACUGACAAAUAUGCCUGAUCUCAUAAUGCAACAUUGCAGGCUGUCCUUGUAGCUGCCGAUUGCAAUCCCAAGUGGUUAACAAAACAUAUACCAACCCUGGCAUCUACAAGGCAGGUUCCAGUAUUGUGCCUCAAGGACAACAAAGGAGGCUCGGUGAGGUUAGGUCAUGUGGUGAAUCUCAGAACAGCACUCGCCAUUGGAGUAAAGGUCAGCUUAUUUCCUUUUCUCGUUGAUUCCGAUACGCUAUAUUGUCUAGCAAGUAUUCAUGAGACCUGGGUUCAACUGUAUAUUAGGCCGGAGACAGCAUAAUCAACAAGACUAUUGACGAGUUCCUGGAGUGUAAUAAGCAAUGAACUGUAAAUUCUCUUAGAGCAGCAAAAUGAUGGACAGAAAAGUUUGAACUCCUGGGCGUGCAAGAGUUCCAGGACAUCUCAGAGAUGGGUUAACAUGGACAUGGAGUGAAGAGGUUUUAGAAGGGGAUAAAGGAUUCUACCAGAUCGUGGCAAUAUCAAUCUUCUCACACCGAUACUCGGAAACCUUCUCUGCCAAUACUCAUGGGAAUAGACCAGGUUAGUUUGUUAGGUUCGUGCAACUCUGAUUGAAUGGAGCGCAAAGGUAUUUGGGUAUUGCCCAUUGUAAUCUUAGAUAUUCGCCUAUGUUCUUCUCUGCUUGUCAACAAUCAUCGAUGUACAAAAAAUGUUGUUACCAUUGCAAGUUUAAUGUGCCAAGUUCUUGAGACGCUACAACACGCUCAUUUUGAUAAUAUAAUAGUGUAGUUUGGUGCCUUGGUGGCAUUCUUCUACAGCCGGGAACAUCUGUUUAUUUGGCACAUGAUUUAAUUAGCAAACCUAAAGUUGAACUACCCAUGAAGUACUCAAGCAAUCUGUUCGAUAGUACUUCAUCUGUUCAAGAAUAGUACAUGCCGCUUUGAACAAGACAUGGUCUUGAAUACGCAAGUUUGACCAUUCAUUUCCACAGUACGAAGCAUAGAAAUACUGGCCUUUUGUUAUCAGGCGGCCUAAUUGUUUUGAAAACUAUAUCUCGCAACAAAUAGUUUUGUAUAUACUAAUGAUAGAUUUGUAAGAUUCUAAAUUUGUGUAUCAUAUUUCUUUCGAGCAUUGUAUAGCAAGUACAACCCAUUUUACUAUAACCCGAGUGCAACUCAGGAUCUAAUGGUUGAAAUCAGCUGGGAUAAAUGGAGCUAAUACAUGCAUGGUUGUACUCAAAAGCAUUUCAUGUUUCUAGAUGCUAGGAGUAUCUAUGUGAGUGAGAUUUUAUACUUUUAUUGGAAAAUAUAAAAGGUGUCACAUGGGCACACAAAACCCAUGUGUAUGCAUACCCAGACGAGUGUACACACACAAUACAUAGUUCUACUACCGUGAUAUGCCAAUGAAAAUGCGUACAAAUAUGAAGUAAUAACCAUCCCAACAAGGCAUGUAACAUUGUCUUGUAAAAGAAAAACAAAACAAAACAAACAAGGCAGGGUAACAAUAGCACAGCACGUCAUGCAUUUCGAUCUUCAUUUUACCAACGGAUGCAUGCAUAAAGUAUGGUCUUAGACGUAGCACUCGUAGAGCUUGAUGUCCAUCUGCAGCCUGAAGUAGUACAGGCCCUGGAAGGUGUCGGUGCGCAGCGUGGCGACGCCGCGCGCCAUGAAGAAGUCGCCGGUGCCGCCGACGACGGAGAUGUCCCUCGUCUUCUCCGCCAUGAGGUCGGCGCCCAUGAGGUUGAGCGUGCCCCUGUGCGCCGUGGAGUUGAACACGAGGGAGAAGGCGAACCACGCGCUGGGCGCCUCCUUCCUGUCGUAGAAGUAGAACCCCUCCGCGCGCGCCACCGGCGCCGACGCCAGCGCCGGCGCAGCCGUCACCACGUCGUUGAACACUACGAUCUCGCCGAAGUAGGUGUCGUUGAUGGACACCGACCUGCUCAGCAGCGUCGGCUGCGUCGCCGCCGCCGCCGUCGCGUUCGCCGUGUUGGUGCCGUCGUAGAGGAUGUCGUGGUAGUAGACCGUCAUGUUCAGGCACGGCUCGCCGUCGUGGCUGGACACGAGCCGCCGCCGGCCAUGGGCGACGCCGGUCAUCAGUCCAAGAAGCAGUAAGAUGGCAGGGAUCACAGUGAUGAGCUUGCAAGUUGGCAUAAGGCCUUGCAUUAUUGUCAGUGUCAGACUCUGAGUGAAAGUGAAUAGACUGAGUGUCAGACUGUCGUCGGUGCAAGACUAGCUAGAAGACACUAUCCGUGAGAACCUAUAGCCAGCUCUCUUGUUCUUAUUUGCGUUGGUGAGUUGAGUGGUGCAUUGCGUAUUUAUAGAGCCAAAUGGUGUGGGAAUAUGCAGUAGAUCCGAGUGUUGAUGUGGAGCUGGUUUAAUUUGAUCCCGAUCGAUCGAUCUAGUGAAACGGGCGGAUGCGCCGGCAUAGUUGAAAUAAACGAGCAGCAUAUGUCUUGGUAAGAUUUCAGUGUCACGCAUGACUCCUCUUUUCCCUAUUUACUAUAGCUGGUGUAUGCUCGUAUAUACCAGCUAUCCAAUGGCAGUUACAUUAUUUUAAGUGCUCGACUGAAACAUGAAAAUGACCAUUCGAAUUUCUUCUUUGCCGUUUUCGUUGUCAAUAAGUAGGUGAGCACAGGCACAACAUUUUAUUGGGAUAGAUAGGUGCGUGAUUUUGGUUUCCCAAACUAGCAGGAUGGCCAUUUUUUUUACGGUAAUGCUAGGACUGGCUGUCCGAAGCCACCAGAAAUAUCAGACGUAGACAUGGACGCGUGGCACGUUUUCAUCCACAAACCUUGCGCUCUCUGCCAUAUCUAUUUUUUCUCUAAUGUUGCUGCUUGCUUCCACGCUUGCUAAUGUCUCCAUCUUUCUUCAUUCCCGGAUGCAUCUGCUACUCUCUUCUUGCUUGCUACCGCCGCUUGUAGCUGCUACUCCUCCUGCCUGCAUCUCCUAGAACUGGGGGCGUGCUUCUAGACGAGAGCUGGGGGCCGUGCUUCUAGAUGUCUACAGGGAUGUCUACAGGGGUGGAGAUGGAGGUGGAGGUCCCUCUCCCCCAGCUCCUCCUCCCUUUCCCCCGGUUGAGGUGGGUGGCAGACGCAGACCGAGCAGCGCGGCGCAACACAAUGAGUGAGAGGGUGGUGCGCGGAGAGUUCAUCCGUCGUGACAUGACGAGAAGAUGGUGCACGGCGAGCUCGCGAGCUCGUUUCCCUCCUAUAGAUGUGCAACACAUAGGGAGUGCUCUGGUCGGAAGUGGAGUAAGAUCUGUUGGUGUUAAUUGGAGUAAUAGGAUGGCAACGACGGCAUGACCUGGUGCGUGGAAUAUGCUGUUGCAAUAUGUUAUUUCUAGGUGUUACACUAUAUCAAUUUGUAUGUUGCAAUAGGUGAUUCUGGAUGUUUCAAACUUUUUCCUUUGAUGUUGCAAUAUGAGGAUUUUUUUUGUUGCGCUCUUUCUUGAUGUUGCAUAAGAUGCUCUCCAAUGUUUCAAUGGUCAAUUUUGCAAAGUUGUGAUCCUUUUGAAGAGAUUCAGAUCAGAUGUUAUUCGAGAUUUUCUAUUCGAGAUGUUGCAACUUGUGAUUUUUAUUGUUGCAACGUGUCUGUUUUGAAUAUUACAAGAAGCCAUCCGAGAUGUUUCAUGCAUGUAAAGGUGUUGCAAAUUUAUCUUCUGAUGAAUGUUGCGUGAAAUAUGACAAAAUGCCGCGCAGGGGAUUUUUUAUCCUAUAAAGAGAUGGAUGGCAUGCAUGAGUUCCAAAACUAUUUUUAGUGCAUGUGUUUCAUGUUGCAAGUGUUGAUUUUUGAUGUUUCCAUAGUUAUUUUUCAAUGUUGCAACGGAGCGUCCGAUAAAAAAAUUAUCGGACGUCGCAUGUCCGUUUUUUUUAUAUCAGCACAUUAACCAUUUCUAAUGGACACUUAAGUUCUUGGGUAAGUUCAUGAUAGCGCAAAAAAAAGGGCAUCAUAAAAAAAUGAAAAUUAAAACACUCUUUUCUUGGACCUGGAUAUUCUUGUUUUUGUUAGAUAAAAGCAAACCGCCGCUACAUUUAUUGUAUACACGACAUAUACAUAGUUUGCCAAAUGAGCGACUAGGUCAGCAGUUGAAAAAUUUACCAUAGAUGUCUCGUCAUUGACUAGUAAGUUGUCUACCACUGAAUAAAUAGUCAUACGGGUGAGGCACACAUAAUUAAGACGCGCCAAACCUAUUCGUCUGAUCCUUGGUGUGCAGAGUAUAAUAACCCCUCAAACUAAGUACUCCCUCCAUUCCAAAUUAUUAUUUGUUUUGCAUAUGGAAAGCUAUGUACUUAGAAAAGUAAAAAGGUAAAAUGAAUAGUAAUUUUUAGGACGGAUGGAGGAAGUACUUGACCAUUUUAUUACAACACAGCUUAUUCUCAUGUCACGGGGCAUUAUGAUUUUGUUGCAACCUCAUGCGCGUGCCCAUAUGAUUGAUAACUAUACUUGGAUCCAUUACUUUUACUUGUUGAAAUGACCACGCGAUGAUGAACACAUGCAUGGAAUACAUGUAAACUUGCUCGAUUGGUCGUCAGGGACAAGAGAAGCAUCAGAUGAGCUGAGUCACUCCGAUGUAUAGUAUUCCACCGGGUUUGGUGUGCGAUCAGCUCAACCAAUGAUGCAGAACUGAUAGUGAUCGAGCUGCAGCAGCAAUACAACUAAUGAACAAUCAACCAAUUAACCGAGCACGUAAACAGAUAUUUUGAACUGCAACAUGACGUGCUUUUAGAGAAUGUAAAACCUGUCGGUACUCUGUACAUAUCUGCGUGUCUUUAGCAAGGACCAGUUUGGUAAAGCUCCAGCUCCGUAUUCUCCUACGACUCUAGCUGAAGUCGUACCAAAUAGUUUAGUCAAAAACGGCUCCAUCCCUGGAGCACUAGAUGAGCCAGAGUUAUUUUAUAUGGAGAAGUCAGAGACAAAAAAAGUAGUUCAUCCGACUUCUUCUCAUUUUAAGAGGAGCUGGAGCCCUACCAAACUGACCUAAAUCGUGAGUGGAAAGAUGUGAACGUUCAUGCAGUAGUUUUUUUCCCCAAUUUUCCUUGUACAAACCUUUUUAAGCCAUCUGUUCUGAAACCAGCCGUCCAGCUAUAUCAUGACACUUGCUCUCUUAUGCUCACAAUAAACAAAGAGGUGGUGCAGUGAACGUGCCUCGGCUGCUGUUCCGUGCAACUACCUCUCCAACAGUUUGUAUAUGUAGGUGCAGCAGGACGAGACGAGUGAGGAGGAAGCAAAGCGAUGGUGAACGUGCACGCUAAGGCCUCCUCCAGAGGUGAGCCGGCUGCUGGCUCUUAAAAGCGUAUGGGGGCGCUUCCACGUAUCUGUACACUGUUAUCUGUACACUGCACCGCGGUUUGGUGAAAGAGUGGUUCCCGUUUAGGGCACCCGCACCGCAUUGUGCAUUUGUGUGCCAUGGAUUCAGUGCUUCAAAUGCCAAAUCAGGAACCAUGCUUCAUUUUUAUCAUUAGUUUUAGCUGCAACGUGCAAGCUUUCUUCUGUAUGACCUCCGAAACAAAUAAGUAGGUACUCUUCCUCCUGCCGCUUUUUUGGCUUCCUCUGACACAAGCAAAGCAAGGCUGGUUAUUGAUGAGCUAGUAAAGGAAUUGCUUUGGGCAUCGAUGCAACUAGACGUCUGCUUUUUUUAUCCGGGCAUGGCUGCUCUCUCUGCGCGCGUGGGGUGGUUGGAGUUGGAGGCGUCAGUUGUGUUGUGUUGUGCGCUUGCUCGAUCGCCCCUUCCAAAAAGUGCAUGAGCUAGUAAAGUCGAAGUUUAUAGUAGCAAUAAAAUUACUAAAAGCCAAUGCGUAAACUGUAAAUCCAUCAGCGGGAAGGCGAAGAAGUGAAGUGUUGAUGACAUCUCCACUGUCUCCAUAUGGUUGGAUCAUCGUAUCCUUUUGCUCCUCUCACACCGUACUGUAGCUGUAAUUGCAAGUCUAAAUGUGGACACGCUCGAUCGGUUGACAGGGACAAGAGAAGCAUCCGAGUCACAUUUGUAAUGGUAUGUAUGGACAUAAGUAUAUGGUGACGAUUGUAAAAUUUGAUGUGAGUUUUAUUCCUUAAAUUACGUCUCAUUUUACUGCUUUUCAAGUAGGGAAAAAGAUGGCAGAUGACUAAAUUAAUUACCUCACUGUCUUAGCUGAGGUCUGACGAUGGAAUUAAGGAGAUGUUAUUUAACGUCUCCCCUUUUUCUUCAAUUUUCUUUGGAUCGACGUUUGUAAGCCAUCCGUUCUGAAGACAGAAUUGAUCUGAAGAGGGAGAUGUUAUCAUGGUACUGCUUUCUUCAACCUCUCUUCUAUUCGUGACACUUCCUCUCAUGCCCAAUAAAGAAAAAAAAAGGGUGAAACGUGCCACUGCUGCUGGUCCGUGCAACGUACCUCUCCAACAGUCUGGAGGUGCAGCUAGCAGGGCGAGACCAGCGAGGACGAAGCAAAGUGAUGGUGCACGCUAAGAAAAAAAUAGUCGCUCGUCAACGUCAGCAUUGUUGCAUGCAUCGACCGGCGACUCACAAAAAUAGCUACUGCGCCGCGCUUUGAUGAAAUAGUCGUUUUCUUCACAGCUCUGGAACUUGGACGUCGUCCACUGCUUUACCUUCGGUUCGCUCGCAACUUGUAGGAGCGAGAGCGAGACGGGGUACACUUUUUCUUUCAGUAAUAAAAAUAGUAUUCGGCUUCAGCACCAUAAAGAGAGAAUUAGUCUACGUAUUAUUAUACUUUAGGGAAUUAAAUUUUAAAAUAGCAAUAAAAUUGUUAAAAAGUCAAUCUGCAAAUACAAGUUUAUCAAUGUGAAGCGAAGAAGUGAAGUGCCGAAGACAUGUUUGGAUCAUCAUCUCUCUCCCACCAUGUUGUAACUGCGUUCAAUGUUGGAAGUCGGAACCACUCCAUCCGUUCUAAAUUAUAGAUUAUCUUAAUAUUUUAAUGUUCAUAUUUUUUUAUUAUGCAUCUAUAUAUAUACUAUAUCUAUAUAUAUAUAUAUAUCAAAAUGACCUGGACGGGAGUAAUAUUACGUUUUUCCGAAUAAAACCCGUUGCCAUUUAUGAGAGAGACGAGGCACAGCGGCACACGACCAACGAGGGAGGGGCGCUGACGGGCCAAGCCUGCGAGGCAAUUGAAGCCCAGAGCCUUUCUCACCGUCAGCCUCUUCACUCCCGCGGGGGGCUGGAAGCUGGGCUGCUAUGAGCUCGCAAUUUGGCGCGGUAUUGAACAAAAUACCUGUUUUCCUCUAAAAAUAGUUAACUUUAUAAAAAUAGGCCAUCAUACAGUGGCAUGCUGCAAAGCGUGUUUCAAGCAUGAAUUUCUUGCGGUUGCCUAUUGGGCGAACAAGAAAUACAUCGCACACAUAUUAGAAUGGCUCGCAAAUUUUUCCCUUUUUUUGGAUUUACAACAGCAAGUCCGUGCUGUCCUUUUCUUAGAAGGCUUUAUUUCAACCACCAAAGUACACCAUCCAAAUAGUCAUAAAAAUUCCUAAACAAGCCAGUGAUUGGUGUACAUGAUGUCAUUUAGCACUCAACUAAACAAAACUGUAUGCCAAACGAUGGUUUUUUUUAAUAAAAGAUAUAUGUAGAGAAAGAUAGAAUUUUGUUUCCCUGAAAUUUGUCCAAAAUCACCUAGUUUUGGCCAUACACGUCGCUAACCAAGGUUAUUUUUGGAAUAUAAUGGUGCAAACUACUCUCUUUUCAUUCAUUUGUAUAUACAAGGCGUACUUUGACUGUACACAGUUGAUCUUUGCCCACAAGUUAUUUAUACCAUAUGAUCUGUCGUUUAACAGUUAUAAGAACAUAGUCAUAAGAAGCAUUCUCUGACUCUUAUAUUUAAACUCAUGCAAAUACAACCAUGUCGGCUUACAACAAUAUAAUGUGAUACACACAAUCCAAACGCCCACAGGUAUAAUAAUAAGUAAUCCAUGCAUUACAACAAGACGCGAAAUUAACAACACUUCACAACACACAACACAUGUACUGAUGUACGUGCUUGGUGAAAACAAUAUUAUUUGAUAUGCAUUCUUAGACGUCGUAGCAGUCGUAGAGCUUGAUGUCCAUCUGGAGCCUGAAGUAGUAGAGGCCCUCGUACGAGUCGGUGCGCAGCGUGGCGACGCCGCGCGCCAUGAAGAAGUCGCCGGUGCCGCCGACGACGGAGAUGUCCCUCGUCUUCUCCGCCAUGAGGUCGGCGCCCAUGAGGUUGAGGGUGCCCCUGUGCGCCGUGGAGUUGAAGACGAGGGAGAAGGCGAACCACGCGUUGGGGGACUCCUUCUUGUCGUAGAAGAAGAAGCCCUGCGCGCGCGCCACCGGCUCCGACGCCAGCGCCGGCCCCGCCGUCACCGGGUCGUCGAACACCACGAUCUCGCCGAAGAAGGUGUCGUUGAUGGACGCCGACCGGCUCAGCAGCGUCGGCUGCGUCGCGAACGCCGCCGUCGCGUUCGCCGUGUUGGUGCCGUCGAAGAGGAUGUUGUGGUAGUACACGGUCAUCUCCUUGCACGGCGGGUUCCUCUGGCGCCCACCACCGUGGGCGACGCCGGCCAGCUGCCCAAGCAGCAACAUCACAGCGAUCGAGCUGAUGACGAUGAACUUGGAAGAUGGCGCGUGGCCUUGCAUUGUUAAUCAGUGCAGGAUCGACUUGUGCUUAAUUAUUAAGCAGCUUGUUACUGUAGGACACUGCAGGAGAGGUGAGCAGCUAGCUCUUGCUGCUGCUGUGUUGCGUGGAGAGCUUGGAGUUGUGCAUGCCUGUUUAUUGAGCUGGUGUGGGGACUCCUGUCGAUGUGGAGUUGGUUUGAUUCAGGUGACGGGUAGCAAAUUAUGGAAGUAACAUCGUGGAAACAUAUGCACGGUUGGCGCCAACACAAUUUCAAUUCAUCUCUGGCACUUUGUGCAUAUAUAUGUUGGUAUGAUCUCGGUGUCAUAUAUGUGUGUCUAUUUCUUGUUUAGCUUGGUGUCAUACCAACCAUGCAUAUAAUGACGAUGAAUCAAUCAAUUUAUUUAUACAGUGUUCAGAUGAAACUGGCCAUAUAGUUUGCUAGUUAAUUUAUUUAUGAAUCAAUCAAGUUAAUAUAUAUGGAACUAGUUAAUUUUAUUUACUGCAAAUAAAGGUUGUGUGUGUGUGUGAGUGAAAAACUCCUUACUGAAAAGGCAUUUUCAGAGAAAAUAUACUGCAUCCUAAGAGGUUUCCUGUACACAGAAAGAUGGGUAGCAUUAAUUGUUACUUGCAUGCACAUAUAGAGACUUACAGGUGACAAGAAUCCAAAGCUCAUCCCCGAUAGACCCGAAUAUAUUUUGUAACUAAUCAAAUCAUCUAGAGUACAUAUGCCAGCACGCUUGCAGGAUGGCUCCAUUUCCAAUGAUUGAGCUAUAUCGGAAGAAAGAGAAACCAUUUGACAGGCAAAGGGAAACUCUGCAGAAGACUAACCCCCUGCAACAUCUAGAUACAUUGAUGCUCUUUUGCUCUCACUGAACACUCAGCCCGGUUGCUCCCUGUUACGUUGGAUAGAUAAUGAGUGAGGAGCAAGCAAAGGCGACUCCACAUUUCCAUUUUCGGGAGAAAAGUAUGACAUGCGCAUGCAGCAAUACCAAGAAGUGCUUGCUGCAUUGUUGGAAAGUCCUGGUUUCCAAUAAGACUAAGAUUAAUUUUCUAAUAUGCAAGGUUUAGUCUAAUAUGAAUUUUGAGUUUAGUAGCUUGAUCUACUGUCUUCUUUAUAGACUAGUUACCUAGAGCUUGAUGAUGCACGGUAGGUUUAGCUGCGCUCUAGUUCUUCAUUACAUCCUCAAAUGAAAAAAAAAGAAAAAAAGAUAUCGCUCAUUACCUUU